rnacentral:rRNA from 1 species
UACGUAGGGUGCGAGCGUUGUCCGGAAUUACUGGGCGUAAAGAGCUUGUAGGUGGUUUGUCGCGUUGUUCGUGAAAUCUCACGGCUUAACUGUGAGCGUGCGGGCGAUACGGGCAGACUAGAGUACUGCAGGGGAGACUGGAAUUCCUGGUGUAGCGGUGGAAUGCGCAGAUAUCAGGAGGAACACCGGUGGCGAAGGCGGAUCUCUGGGCCUUACCUGACGCUCAGGUGCGAAAGCUAGGGGAGCGAACAGG